rnacentral:rRNA from 1 species
GACGAACGCUGGCGGCGUGCUUAACACAUGCAAGUCGUACGGUAAGGCCCUUUCGGGGGUACACGAGUGGCGAACGGGUGAGUAACACGUGAGUAACCUGCCCACAACUUUGGGAUAACGCUAGGAAACUGGUGCUAAUACUGGAUAUGUGCUCCUGCUGCAUGGUGGGGGUUGGAAAGCUCCGGCGGUUGUGGAUGGACUCGCGGCCUAUCAGCUUGUUGGUGGGGUAGUGGCCUACCAAGGCGGCGACGGGUAGCCGGCCUGAGAGGGUGACCGGCCACAUUGGGACUGAGAUACGGCCCAGACUCCUACGGGAGGCAGCAGUGGGGGAUAUUGCACAAUGGGCGCAAGCCUGAUGCAGCAACGCCGCGUGCGGGAUGACGGCCUUCGGGUUGUAAACCGCUUUCAGCAGGGACGAAGCUUUUUGUGACGGUACCUGCAGAAGAAGCACCGGCUAACUACGUG